UAUAAACCAAAAUUUUCGACUAAAAAAUUGCUACCAUUUAAAGAUUAACCCUUAAUUCACUACCUGAGUCCAUUGGACUCACAUCGAACUUUCAAACUAUUAUAUUUUUUUCCCCUGGUGACUUAUUUCCUCCACCGUCUCAGUACCUUCCUGCAGUGACGUGGGCACCGCGGUAGCGAGAGGACGUGCGCCUGCGCUGCGUAAUAGGUUUGUAAAAUGGAUCUAAAACAACAUAAAGUUGUAAAUAUGAAUGAAGACCAGGCAGAUUCUGUUUUGGAAUCAUGGAUCACACAAAUUAUGAAUGAUGAAGAUGCGAGCCACUCUGAAACCGAAGACAAGCUAUCUAGGACAGAAAGAAAGCAUUGUUAUCCAUGUAAUUACAAAAAGAGAACAAAGACUGCACAUUCAGGCACUAGAUGUCUGAAGCCUGUAUGUUUGAGUUGCUCAAAAAUGGCAUGCCGUCGCUGCCUGCAAUCGGUGGCAAUACCCCAUUGCACGUUUUAUUUUUUUGUAUAGAAGCGUACAUUUUUGUUGUUUAUUUUCGGUUUUGCAUUCCUUUAGAAGUCUUAUAAAAUUAAAAAGAGCCAUUAGUUAAAAAUAUUUGCCAUUAUUGUAGGGCUUUGAAAAUAACUCUGUUUUCUAAGACUAUUAGAAUAAGUUUUUUUUUAUUUUUAAGAGUAUUUCAGAAGUUUAUCCAGUUUUAUUAUUUUUUUGUAGUGCCUUAAUAAACAUUUAAAAAUAAUAAUAAAAAAACUUAAUAAAAAAAAGAGUUUUAUUUGAAAAAAACACGCCAAGAAAAUAUAUGAGUCCAGUGGACUCAUGGAAGCUGUUUAUGUUAGCAAAUUUCACCUAGUGAAUUGAGGGUUAAGGAUUAAUCUAUCUAUAGUAAUUAUUAGUUUAAUUUGGUUUUGUAUUAUUUUGUCGCAAAAUGUACCGAAAAACUGCUUAUUUUUGUCAGAUUCGUAAACGCGUCCUUAAGAACAUCGUUUUGGUUAGGCUUCCAUUAUCAAGCAAUUUUAAACUUCAUUCAAUUGACAUACAGUUCAAAUUAUUUUGUACUUUUCAAAGACCUAAGGGAGAGAGAGUCUGUUCUGCCAACUUUUAGAAAAAAUAAAAACAUUUCUAAUGUUGGCCCCUCCGAUGUAAUCAUUUAAUAUUAGAUUUAAUUUUUUAGUUUUAAUUAUUUAUUAUUAUUUCUUAUUUUUUUUUAAACCUUAUUUUUGUAUAUUUUAAUUUUAAGCUAAUACAUUAAUAAAUUAUUUCUUUCUUUCUUCGAUUUCUUGUCAAUGGUUAAGACUUAAGCAUAGACAACCUCUUGAUGUUGAUUUGUUGUUUGAAAUUUGAAUUCAAAAUGGCGUUUUAUUAAUUGUUUUGGUGGAAGAUAAACAAAAUCUGUUCUUCGUAUAUCGUAGAUUUUCUUACUUAUUUACUCAGUUAAUGUACAGUACAUUGAAUUUUUUAAUUUGUUAUAUUUCUGCCAAAAGUGAAA